CCUACGGGAGGCAGCAGUAGGGAAUCUUGCGCAAUGGGCGAAAGCCUGACGCAGCCAUGCCGCGUGAAUGAUGAAGGUCUUAGGAUUGUAAAAUUCUUUCACCGGGGACGAUAAUGACGGUACCCGGAGAAGAAGCCCCGGCUAACUUCGUGCCAGCAGCCGCGGUAAUACGAAGGGGGCUAGCGUUGCUCGGAAUUACUGGGCGUAAAGGGAGCGUAGGCGGAUAGUUUAGUCAGAGGUGAAAGCCCAGGACUCAACCUUGGAACUGCCUUUGAUACUGGCUAUCUUGAGUACGGGAGAGGUGUGUGGAACUCCGAGUGUAGAGGUGAAAUUCGUAGAUAUUCGGAAGAACACCAGUGGCGAAGGCGACACACUGGCCCGUUACUGACGCUGAGGCUCGAAAGCGUGGGGAGCAAACAGGAUUAGAUACCCUGGUAGUCCACGCCGUAAACGAUGAGUGCUAGUUGUCGGCAUGNAUGCAUGUCGGUGACGCAGCUACGACAUAAGUACACUCCGCCGUCGGGUAGGUACGGUCGCGAAGAAUUAAAACUUAAAAGGUAAAGUUAGUACGGCGUGAGACGNGCCGACGGACGACGACGAGGGAGGUAGG
rnacentral:rRNA from 1 species